GCCCCCGUAACUCAAUCGGACAGAGUAACAACCUUCUAAGUUGGAAGUUGCGAGUUCGAGUCUCGCCGGGGGCG
rnacentral:tRNA from 1 species